CAUCGCGUGGUACUGAAAAGAUCUUGGGAAGUGGUGUCCUGGCCAGACAUCCACCCAACACAACUGACUCUGCCAUGUUUGUGUUCCAUUCUACAUGAGGGAUCAUUUUCCUCUUAUUAUAUGUUGAUGAUCUUAUCAUUAUUGGUAGCUCCUCUCUAUUGGCUUAAUUUUUACUUGGCAGGCUGGGUUUGCCAUGAAAGAUUUGAGCCCUCUUUAUUACUUCCUAAGAGUGGAAGUUUCUAAUUUGACUAGUGU
rnacentral:lncRNA from 1 species